rnacentral:rRNA from 1 species
GACAGAGGGUGCAAACGUUGUUCGGAAUUACUGGGCGUAAAGCGCGUGUAGGCUGCUCAGAAAGUCGGAUGUGAAAACCCUGGGCUUAACCUAGGAAGUGCAUUCGAAACUUCUGAGCUUGAGUUCUGGAGAGGAAGGCGGAAUUCUCGGUGUAGAGGUGAAAUUCGUAGAUAUCGAGAGGAACACCGGUGGCGAAGGCGGCCUUCUGGACAGCGACUGACGCUGAGACGCGAAAGCGUGGGGAGCAAACAGG